GACGGACGGUGCAAGCGUUGCUCGGAAUCACUGGGCGUAAAGGGUGCGUAGGCGGCCGUGCAAGUCUGGCGUGAAAGCCCCGGGCUCAGCCCGGGAAGUGCGCUCGAAACUGCGCGGCUCGAGUGCCGGAGGGGAGAGUGGAAUUCCUGGUGUAGCGGUGAAAUUCGUAGAUAUUAGGAAGAACACCAGUGGCGAAGGCGGCUCACUGGACCGGAACUGACGCUGAGGCGCGAAAGCGUGGGGAGCAAACAGG
rnacentral:rRNA from 1 species